GGGUUAAGUCCCGCAACGAGCGCAACCCCUCGCAUCCAGUUGCCAUCGGGCGAGCCGGGCACUCUGGAGGGACUGCCGGCGACAAGCCGGAGGAAGGUGGGGGAUGACGUCAAGUCAUCAUGGCCCUUAUGUCCAGGGCGACACACGUGCUACAAUGGCCGGCACAGCGGGAAGCGGAGGGGCGACCCUGAGCGGAUCCCUUGAAAGCCGGUCCCAGUUCGGAUUGCAGUCUGCAACUCGACUGCAUGAAGUUGGAAUCGCUAGUAAUCGCGGAUCAGCCAAGCCGCGGUGAAUACGUUCCCGGGCCUU
rnacentral:rRNA from 1 species